UGUGAGGUCAAUAGUUUCGCCACUUAGCCGGAUCGCUGUUACGCAGCGAGGGCAAGCUGAAUUUAUUUAGCUGUCAGACCAGAGGAGAGCAGUGACCAGGAGUGCUGCAGGCAGGAACCACAAACAGAAACCUGGCACUUAACUUCCUUGACAAAUGGGUGAGCAAUAGUUGUCCCUAGUGUUCAGCAG
rnacentral:lncRNA from 1 species